UGCUAUGAUACCAAGUGUUAGGAUCGCUCAACAACGCACACAGUCGAUCAAGAUGAACACAAAGAACAUGAGAGAGAAAAUUCAAGGAGAAUAUAUUGGCUAAAGAUUUUACUGAUGACUUC